UCUCUCCAAGGUCUCGGUGCUGUACUGAUGCAAGAGAAGAAAGUUGUUGCUUAUACCUCUCGCCAGUUGAAAACUAAUGAGAAGAACUACCCCACUCAUGAUCUCGAGUUGGCGGCAGUUGUGCACGCUUUGUUGACUUGGAGACAUCUUCUAUUGGGAAGGAAAGUGGAUAUUUUCACUGAUCACAAGAGUCUCAAGUACAUCUUCACUCAGCCUAAUCUCAACCUCAGGCAGACUCGAUGGGUCGAAAUGAUUCAAGAGUACAAUCCGAGUAUCGAGUAUACUCCAGGCAAGGCUAAUGUGAUUGCUGACGCUUUGAGCAGAAAAGCAUAUUGCAACAGUCUGAUUCUCAAGCCUUAUCAACCCGAGCUUUGUGAAGCUUUCCGCAAGCUUAAUCUGCAAGUUGUUCCUCAAGGUUUCCUCGCCAACCUUCAAGUCUAUCCUACCAUAGAAGACCAAAUUCGCCAAGCCCAACUUCUUGAUGCUAUGGUGAAGAAGGUGAAGAUUGGUAUUGCAAAGAGUCAGUCCAAGUACAAGUGCUACCGACUUGAU
rnacentral:rRNA from 1 species